rnacentral:tRNA from 1 species
ACCUGGGUGGCUCAGUUGGUUGAGUGUCCGACUUUGGCUCAGGUCAUGACCUCACGGUUUGUGGGUUCAAGCCCCACAUCGGGUU